rnacentral:tRNA from 1 species
UCCCUGGUGGUCUAGUGGCUAAGACUGCACUUCCAAUGCAGGGGGCCUGGGUUUGAUCCCUGGUCAGGGAA